UAAACCAAGGAUUUGGUUAGUCUCAGGAUGAGACCGGUGUACUAGGAUGGUAUAUCGAACAAGGACUGUGAAGGGAUAGCCGAGGAACGGCAAAAGGUAAGCAGGACGUUUACCAGUCAGGAUGACAAAAGGACCACUUCAGGACGAAGUCAGGGACACCUCCAGGAUGGAUGUUGAGAGUCAGGACAGGAUGGACUGACGGGUCAGGAUGGCCACAGGAUCACUUCAGGACGAAGUAAAAAGGACAAUGCUGAAGGAAUACAGCUGUCAAUGGAAUGAUGCAGGGAGCACCAUAGUAGCGGGAUUGCUGCAAGUAAGACCUAAGGGCGCAACGCAAGUUGCGCCCGCUCUUUUUUGG
rnacentral:other from 1 species